rnacentral:snoRNA from 1 species
UUGCACUGUUCGUAACCUGUUGACAGCCUCUUCUGCUAAUGGGUUCCAUUCCAGUGCUAUAGCAAAUACCCAAGAUGAGAAAAGAUUGGCUAUUUCUGCCUGUCAUCUCUGUUUUGGGGGACAUAA